UGUCACAGCUCAGAAAGCAAUGGGGCAAUUUAAAAACACGCCACGGUCCCAUGUUCUCAGACAGAACACGUGCAGCGGAGGAACCAAACGGUGCACCAACCAGUCGAGCACUGGAGUCAAGCCUCGCGGAAGAUGAUUUCAUUGGAGCUCCGCGGGAGCUCCGAACCGGACUUUCGACACCAUUCCAGCACCUAUGCAUAUGUAGCUGAAUAUAUUAUUGGGUGUGCUGUA